rnacentral:misc_RNA from 1 species
UCAAACUUGGUCAUUUAGAGGAAGUAAAAGUCGUAACAAGGUCUCCGUAGGUGAACCUGCGGAGGGAUCAUUACCGAGUUCAUGCCCUCACGGGUAGAUCUCCCCACCCUUGUGUAUUCUGUGUUUGUGUUGCUUUGGCAGGCCGUGGGCCUCGCCCACCACCGGCUCUCGGGCUGGUGUGCGCGCCUGCCAGAGGACUCCCUCAACUCUGUUUGUUAGUGUCGUCUGAGUAUGAUAACAAUCGUUAAAACUUUCAACAACGGAUCUCUUGGUUCUGGCAUCGAUGAAGAACGCAGC